rnacentral:rRNA from 1 species
UGGCCUUGACAUAGAAAGAAUUUAGCAGAGAUGUAAAAGUGCUAGUUUACUAGAGCUUUCAUACAGGUGCUGCACGGCUGUCGUCAGCUCGUGUCGUGAGAUGUUAGGUUAAGUCCUGCAACGAGCGCAACCCUCGUGUUUAGUUACUAACAGAUUAUGCUGAGGACUCUAGACAUACUGCCUGGGCAACCAGGAGGAAGGUGAGGACGACGUCAAGUCAUCAUGGCCCUUAUGGCCAGGGCUACACACGUGCUACAAUGGGGUAUACAAAGAGCCGCAAUACCGCGAGGUGGAGCAAAUCUCAUAAAAUAUCUCCCAGUUCGGAUUGUUCUCUGCAACUCGAGAACAUGAAGUUGGAAUCGCUAGUAAUCGUAGAUCAGCAAUGCUACGGUGAAUACGUUCCCGGGUCU